UGAAGCAGUGUGAAGGAAGCACACGCGCUGCAGGGCGGAGUUUCACACAGCGCCUCGAAGCAACGGGGCUGAAAUCACUUCUGACAUUACAUACCAACAUUUACUCACCGCCAACUUCUGCUGGGGGACAGGGAUCCGUAACAUACUGAUUAUUGUCCGAAGGCGGACAACUAGUGAUCGAAGAAACCUGAGUGACAGAGAUGUUGCACUGGUUUCUGCGAGCUGUGGAGCUGCAGUGUGUGUCUGUGCUAGAAACAUCAUGCAGCUCAGUUACUCACAUCCCAUUCAUUUUGGAAGUAGGAUCUCACACCAAGUGUUCUGCACGCUAGGAUCUUGUCACUCUUGAGACAAAAAGCUUGUUUUAUCCUUGCAAAGCCUGAUAUAUAUAUAUAUAUAUAUAUGUAUGUAUAUGUAUAUAUUAUAUAUACUAUAUAAUUGUACUGUAUACUUUGUGUGUGUGUGUCGUGUGUGUGUGUGUGUGUGAGUAUAUGUAUAUAUGUGUAUAUAUAUGUAUAUAUGUGUGUGUGUGUGUGUGUGUGUGUGUGUUGCAUACACACAUACACACACACAUAUAUAUAUAUAUAUAUAUGUGUGUGUGUGUGUGUAUUGCAUUUCAAAGUUUAUUGAACCUUUAGACAAAAUAUAGGGAAACAUUUUUAAUAAGUUUGCAUAUGUGUUUUGUCAUGUUUAUGACCAAAAAGCAGAUCAUUUUAAUUCAGAGCAAAAAUAUGCAGUUUUUUUAAUUUAGAGCAAAAAUAUGUCAGUUUUUUUUAAUUUAUUAUUUAUAUAGGUCAAAAAAGUAAGAAAUUCUGAUAGCUUGUAAUGUAAAUCAAUGAGAGCUUUAUACAGAAGCAGAUUACUUACAAGAAAAUGCAUAUGAAUAUCAGUUGUCACUCUAUAUCUCCCAAUAAAAUCCUCUUGUUAUUAUAAAAAGAUACUUAAAUGCUUAGCAUAUGAUCAAAGCUUGGCAGUUUUAUUUGUCUGGGGUUAAACAUAUAAUGCAGUGCAAUACAGUGGUGAUUGAGAGAUUAACAUUCCUCAAAAGCCUGAAGAUCGUAUUUGACAU
rnacentral:lncRNA from 1 species